AAAUGUUCGAAGCGCUGGAAUUGAAAUUAUUCGACGUUUUAGUCUCCCCUUGAAUUUUCAGCACAGCAGAUUCGACAUUUUUCUUAAUUACUGGUUUUGAAUAGAGGUUACUGUGCAAUAUAGGAGGAUGGAGGCUCCAAUCUUCAUAUAGCCAUUGUGAUUCAGGUUUUCCGUGGUUUCUCUAAUUUAUUUCAAGUGGCUACUACUGUAAGGCCACAGCUAAGUACCUGUUGCAUCCUUGGCAUAAUGUACUAUGACUACUACUACUACUACUACUACUACCACUACCACUACCACUACCACUACCACCACCACUACAGAAUCAUCAGGAAUGGCAGCUAGUGUGAGGAAUGUAAGUGGUUUUUUCCCCCAUCACAUGGGAUGUUGUAAUGCAAUAUACAUGACAACCAUUAAUUGUCCAGUGACUGUCUCUUCUACUGCAAAGUGUUCGAAAAACAAGCAGCUUGUCUUGAAACUAGGUGCUAAUUUGAUAGUAGUGCAAGAAGAAUUGGAAAUUUUGAGAGCUGCAGUCUGGAUCAAGCCUUCUAAAUCUGUACAAAGAUCUAGGUGAUGCUCCAGAUGUAUUUGUUUCAUUCUAGUUGUGUAGCUUCAUUGCUUUGGAGACUGAUUUAGCUACAUGUUCCAUGGAGCAUUUGUAUAAUUAAUCAUUAUAAUGAGGAACAAGUCAUCCUACAUUCUCGUUACAAGUUCACAUUAAGUAAAGAAUAUUUUUCUGUUUAUUUUAAAAUUUAACUUUUCUCUCUGUCGGAUAUUUUACAUCAUAGGGAAAAAGACCAAAAAUUUUGGUGGCACCAUUAAGCAAAGUUUUUUGUGCUAACGACAACCAUAAU